rnacentral:rRNA from 1 species
GAUCAUGGCUCAGGAUGAACGCUGGCGGCGUGCCUAACACAUGCAAGUCGAGCGAGAAUUUACAGAAUGAAGCUUCGGCAGAUUUCUGUAAAGGAAAGCGGCGGACGGGUGAGUAACGCGUGAGUAACCUGCCCUUAGGUGGGGGAUAACACAUCGAAAGGUGUGCUAAUACCGCAUAACAUAUGUUUAUCGCAUGGUAGACAUAUCAAAGAUUUAUUGCCUAAGGAUGGACUCGCGUCUGAUUAGAUAGUUGGUGAGGUAACGGCUCACCAAGUCGACGAUCAGUAGCCGAACUGAGAGGUUGAUCGGCCACAUUGGGACUGAGACACGGCCCAGACUCCUACGGGAGGCAGCAGUGGGGAAUAUUGCGCAAUGGGGGAAACCCUGACGCAGCAACGCCGCGUGAAGGAUGAAGGUCUUCGGAUUGUAAACUUUGUCUUAUGGGACGAAAAAGGACGGUACCAUAGGAGGAAGCCACGGCUAACUACGUG